rnacentral:rRNA from 1 species
UACGUAGGGUGCGAGCGUUGUCCGGAAUUAUUGGGCGUAAAGAGCUCGUAGGCGGCUUGUCACGUCUGCUGUGAAAACUCGGGGCUCAACCCCGAGCCUGCAGUGGAUACGGGCUGCUAGGGUCCGGCAGGGGAGACUGGAAUUCCUGGUGUAGCGGUGAAAUGCGCAGAUAUCAGGAGGAACACCGGUGGCGAAGGCGGGUCUCGUGGGCCGGUACCGACGCUGAGGAGCGAAAGCGUGGGGAGC